UGUCGGAUUCAUUGCGUAUUCAGGUGCAUCAGGUAUGAUUUACUUUAUCCAGGUUUUUACGCUGGCUAUAAAAAAAACGAGGGGUGAUUUGAUUAUGACAUAUUUUGCUCACAGAUUUUAUAGUAAAAUCUUAGCAAGCUGUAAUUCUGGUUUGUUUAUUAAAUUGUCAAAAAUUUUCACCACAUUCGUGUUGCACCUAGAAGAAUUUCUUAAAUCAAAUUUUAUUGAUGUAUCGUAUAAAUUUGUUCAAUUUAUUUAUUUCACGUGAUUUUAGGUUCCCCAAUCAAUCGGAUACGUGGGUUUCAAUUUGAACUUCGCAUAAUAGACAAACUUAGAAGACGAAGAUGUCCCUACAUUAUAAUAUUCCAUUCCGAAAAAAUAAUCAUCAAUCAACAACUUUCACUUGGAUCAAUAAAUCGAAAAACUGUGCAAUCUAACUUAAAUUUUUGAGUCUUGGCCGUAUGAAUAAAAUAAACCUAAGCACA